GAUGAACGCUGGCGGCGUGCCUAACACAUGCAAGUCGAACGGAGUUACUUUAGUGAAGUUUUCGGAUGGAUCUGAUUUAACUUAGUGGCGGACGGGUGAGUAAUGCGUGAGCAACCUGCCCUUCAGAGGGGGACAACAGUUGGAAACGACUGCUAAUACCGCAUAAUGUAUCCGGGAGGCAUCUCCUGGAUACCAAAGGAGAAAUCCGCUGAUGGAUGGGCUCACGUCUGAUUAGCUAGUUGGUGAGGUAACGGCUCACCAAGGCUGCGAUCAGUAGCCGGACUGAGAGGUUGAACGGCCACAUUGGGACUGAGAUACGGCCCAGACUCCUACGGGAGGCAGCAGUGGGGAAUAUUGGGCAAUGGGCGAAAGCCUGACCCAGCAACGCCGCGUGAAGGAAGAAGGCCUUCGGGUUGUAAACUUCUUUUAAGAGGGACGAAGAAGUGACGGUACCUCUUGAAUAAGCCACGGCUAACUACGUG
rnacentral:rRNA from 1 species